GGUGAACCUGCGGAAGGAUCAUUACCGAUGUGAAAAAUCCAAGGUUAAACAUCAUUAACCAGUGUGAACUGUACGACAACUCUUUAGGGGUCGGCACAGGCGUGUGUCGUUAAAUGGCGGAUAGGUUCCUUCCGCCAGCCCCGCCAUUGUGUUUAUUAUAUCACUUUGAACGUUAAAGACUGAGAACUAUGUAUCAUGCAUUAAAUGUAUGUGAAAGAAGGAAAGAAAAAUGAGAGACAACUUUUGACGGUGGAUCUCUUGGCUCACGUAUCGAUGAAGAACGCAGCCAGCUGCGAUAUGUAGUGUGAAUUGCAGAAUUCAGUGAAUCAUUGAAUCUUUGAACGCAAAUGGCGCUCUUGGGUUCUCCCAGGAGCAUGUCUGUCUGGGUGUCGGAUUUUAUCGAACGCACCCGUGAGUGCGGUAUUGAGGUGUCACGGCGUGUUAGCAAGCAAGCAAGCAAGCAUUAAAUCGCCGUGUCCCUUGAAGGACAGCAGCAUUGGACUCGCAUUCUCUAUUGAAGCUUGAGUGCGAAGGCUAAAGAUAAUAUUUUCCUUCGCCCAAACAUGCAAUAGCAGAAACAAAAUCCAAUCAAAGCGGUGGCAGACAAUAAACAUCAAAUCUUGACCUCAGAUCAGGCAAGGCUACCCGCUGA
rnacentral:sRNA from 1 species